rnacentral:rRNA from 1 species
AGAGUUUGAUCCUGGCUCAGGACGAACGCUGGCGGCGUGCUUAACACAUGCAAGUCGAACGCUGAUCCCGCUUCGGUGGGGGAUGAGUGGCGAACGGGUGAGUAACACGUGGGCAACCUGCCCCCGGCUCUGGGAUAACUCCAAGAAAUUGGGGCUAAUACCGGAUGUGACCGCUGGCCGCAUGGUCUGGUGGUGGAAAGGGUUUCCGGCUGGGGAUGGGCCCGCGGCCUAUCAGCUUGUUGGUGGGGUAGUGGCCUACCAAGGCGACGACGGGUAGCCGGCCUGAGAGGGUGACCGGCCACACUGGGACUGAGACACGGCCCAGACUCCUACGGGAGGCAGCAGUGGGGAAUAUUGCGCAAUGGGCGGAAGCCUGACGCAGCGACGCCGCGUGGGGGGAUGACGGCCUUCGGGUUGUAAACCUCUUUCAGCAGGGACGAAGCCGCGAGGUGACGGUACCUGCAGAAGAAGCACCGGCCAACUACGUGCCAGCAGCCGCGGUAAUACGUAGGGUGCAAGCGUUGUCCGGAAUUAUUGGGCGUAAAGAGCUCGUAGGCGGUUGGUCGCGUCGGCUGUGAAAACCCGGAGCUCAACUCCGGGCCUGCAGUCGAUACGGGCCGACUUGAGUGUUGCAGGGGAGACUGGAAUUCCUGGUGUAGCGGUGAAAUGCGCAGAUAUCAGGAGGAACACCGGUGGCGAAGGCGGGUCUCUGGGCAACAACUGACGCUGAGGAGCGAAAGCGUGGGGAGCGAACAGGAUUAGAUACCCUAGUAGUCC